ensembl:snoRNA U3 Small nucleolar RNA U3
AAGACUAUACUUUCAGGGAUCAUUUCUAUAGUCCUUGACUUGAGAAAUGCUUUUCUAAAGUUGAUGGUCUCGCUGACCACGAUGAAGAGUUGGUGAUACUCCUUCCUGAGCGCGAAGCGGGCGGAGAGACUUGAUUCACUUCAUACGCUCUCUGCCUUUGAUGACCGUUCACUGCCUCCUCUGGGGGGCGAUGAGGGAAGGAGUAUGAUCAGAGUGGU